GGUCUACACCUAUUUUGCUGUUUGUUUUGGCUUAAGUGCGCGGUGUUGCCACAUUCUGUGCCUCGUAAUUAAUUGCAGGCCCUGAAUGGUCAAGAUAUGUAUCGCAUGUAAAAUGAAUAAACUUUGUAACCAUUAAAUAUAAAGAAUAUAUCACACAGAAAUGAUUAUAUAA